UACGUAGGGUGCGAGCGUUAAUCGGAAUUACUGGGCGUAAAGCGUGCGCAGGCGGUUCUGAAAGUCAGCUGUGAAAGCCCCGGGCUUAACCCUGGGAAUUGCGGUUGAAACUACAGGGCUAGAAUCUGGCAGAGGGGGGGUGGAAUUCCACGUGUAGCAGUGAAAUGCGUAGAGAUGUGGAGGAACACCGAUGGCGAAGGCGGCAUCCUGGACCGGUAUUGACGCUGAGGCGCGAAAGCCAGGGGAGCAAACGGG
rnacentral:rRNA from 1 species